UUAAGCAUACAGAUUUUGAGGCCCCAUCACAGAACUCCUAAAGCAGAAUCUUUGUGAAUGGAGCCCAGGAAUCUGAAUUUUUAACAACUA
rnacentral:pre_miRNA from 1 species